UUUGUUUUAUGUUUUCCCCAUAAUUGGAGGCACAAGGCACGAGUGUCAGAAUUAACCAUAAAAUAUUGAGCUUUAAAAACAAAAAAAAGAAAUUAAGUUUUGGCGAUGGGCUCAAAGCGCUCUCAUCCAUGUGUGCAGCUCUAAGAAACAAGUUGAAGAUGCAAGAAUGUCAGCACCACAGGGCCUCGAUAGAAAGACUGAGGCUGCCACCAAACAGCCUGAGGACAUGACCCCCUUGUCCUGAAAGACCCUGAAAUGACACUUCUCUGACCCACCAUUGCAUCUGUAUCCCGUGAGCCAAGAAAACCAAUCAUGCAGCAUCAUCUCCAGUGUCCUGUCCAAAUCAAAUAAAAAGGACAUCUGCUCAGAGGAAACCAGGUUAGAGUACUUAACAAUAUUAAAAAAUUUCAAACCACUGUAGAUGCUCCUUCACCGUAGAACAUGACACAGGGAUUUGGUUGAAUCCACUGACUGUUUCUGAUUACUUGAUUUAAAUGUUGUUAAUUUUAACAUGACAUUUCAAAUCACCAUGAAACUGAAGGUUUUCUGAGUUCCUAUGUUUAAGUGUACCAAUUUUAUAUUUGAGCAUUUAUCUUAAUUUUAUAAAUCACCUGCUGAGUAAAAACCUUCUGAAUAGGAGCAAAACUGGAAAGUUUGGUGUAUGCAAGUGCUUUUGCAAAAAAUGGCCUUUAAACAAAUAUUAUACAAGACACAAACAGAAAUGUCAUGAUUCUGCCCCAUGACUUUUUGUUGACUCCUUAAGUCUACUUGUUUUCUUCAUGGAUGCUUGUUUGAUGUUGAUUUGGUUGUUCCCUGGUUGCGCUUUUUCCUUGUGUGUUGGGUGUAUUGGUUUCUUGGACCCUUGGUUCCUGUUUUAUAUUGAAGUAGUUCUAUUCUAUUGUCUCACCUGUGCUUCCCUUUGUCUGUGCUGGGUCGUCUUGUUGUCUUCCCCAGUAUCUUCCUGUUGUUUUCCCCCAGUCGUUUUCCUGAGGAGUCCGUCCGUGUGUAUUUUUCCCCAGUGCUUCCAGACUUUGUUU